rnacentral:tRNA from 1 species
UCUCUGGUAGUAUAUCGGAUAGUACACCCGCCUGUCAUCAUAGGAUGGACGCGGGAGAGCGGGGUUCGACUCCCCGCCAGAGAG